rnacentral:rRNA from 1 species
UACGUAGGAGGCAAGCGUUGUCCGGAUUUACUGGGCGUAGAGGGCUCGCAGGCGGUUCACUAAGUCUGACGUGAAAUCUCCCGGCUUAACUGGGAGGGUGCAUUGGAAACUGGCGAACUUGAGGGCAUCAGAGGAGAGUGGAAUUCCCGGUGUAGUGGUGAAAUGCGUAGAUAUCGGGAGGAACACCAGUGGCGAAGGCGGCUCUCUGGGGUGCACCUGACGCUGAGGAGCGAAAGCGUGGGGAGCGAACCGG